CCUACGGGUGGCAGCAGUGAGGAAUAAUUGACAAUGGACGCAAGUCUGAACCAGCGAUGCCGCGUGCAGGAAGACGGCUCUACGAGUUGUAAACUGCUGUUGUACGAGGGCAAACGAAAAUAAGAGUAUCUGUAUGAAAGUAUACUACGAAUAAGGAUCGUCUAACCCCGUGCCAGCAGCCGCGGUAAUACGGAGGAGUCAAGAGUUAUCCGGAUUUAUUGGGUUUAAAGGGUGCGUAGGCGGUUCGAUAAGUUAGAGGUGAAACCCCGGGGCUCAACUCCGGCACUGCCUCUGAUACUGUCAGACUAGAGUUUAGUUGCGGUAAGCGGAAUGUAUGGUGUAGCGGUGAAAUGCAUAGAGAUCAUACAGAACACCGAUUGCGAAGGCAGCUUACCAAACUUCGACUGACGUUGAGGCACGAAAGCGUGGGGAGCAAAAGGGAUUAGAUACCCUGGUAGUC
rnacentral:rRNA from 1 species